rnacentral:rRNA from 1 species
CCUACGGGUGGCAGCAGUGAGGAAUAUUGGUCAAUGGGCGCGAGCCUGAACCAGCCAAGUAGCGUGAAGGAUGACGGUCCUAUGGAUUGUAAACCUCUUUUAUCGGGGAAUAAAGUGCAGUAUGUAUACUGCUUUGCAAGUACCUUAAGAAUAAGGAUCGGCUAACUCCGUGCCAGCAGCCGCGGUAAUACGGAGGAUGCGAGCGUUAUCCGGAUUUAUUGGGUUUAAAGGGAGCGAAGGCGGGAGUUAAAGUCAGCGGUAAAAGUUGGCGGCUCAACCUACUAGUGCCGUUGAAACUGGCUUUCUUGAGUGAGUGAGAGGUAUGCGGAAUGCGUGGUGUAGCGGUGAAAUGCAUAGAUAUCACGAAGAACUCCGAUUGCGAAGGCAGCCUGCCGGCCCUCAACUGACGCUCAUGCACGAAAGUGUGGGUAUCGAACAGGAUUAGAUACCCUGGUAGUC